GCCAGGCGGAGGGGCUCCCGAUAUUUACCCGGGCUCUGGCUUUCCUCGGCUUCCGGGAACCUCUGGCACCUGCUGCACCUGGAAAGCAGAAGCCACCUUAUAUAGGCGCCCGAGGCCACCGCCACCGGAUCCUAAGGUUUACGAAACCGUCCAAAACAUGGGAUCGGGAGCCUUGGUUCUCCUGGAGGCCCCACGAGUCUCAGGAAGUCGGAAAUGCAAGGUGCCGGUGCCGGGAGGCGAACACGCGCCGCGGCCCCAGGGUCGGAGCUGACAGCUUAGGCGCGGCCCGGUAGAUGGCUGAACGCUGACCCCUCGCGACACUGCGAGGCUGCACAGGCUGGGAGGGCGGCGCCGGCCACACCCGCCCACGGGAGCUCCGGCCCCCGCGCGCCCUGCUGGCUUACAGCUCCUCCCUGCUCGCCGGAGCCGUGCUAGCCAAGAUGAGUCCUAGCGGCUGAUGGCACCAUUUUGGGACCCGCAAGGUAAACCAGGGGGGUAAAGGGAUUGCAGAAGUUUUCCCCGGGUUAAG
rnacentral:lncRNA from 1 species